CACAAGACGCUCCUACAUGUAACCAGUUGUUGGGCGGGUAUUAAAGGCUGUAAGCACCUACAAUUAAGGUCCUUCGUCCUUUGUUCUGCAUCAGAGAGGGAGUUUUAGCCUCUCGCCGCACGCCUAAGAGAGCGCGGAGCCCUCUUGCCACAAAUGGUGCCCUAACAGGGGUACGAAAGGUUGACCGGUCAGAAGCGCAGGGCUGAGAGAAGUGCCGUGCAGAGAGGCUCCGUCUAAAAAGAGAGAGCUGAAAAGUAGCUCUGGCAGAGUCGGGCUGGAAGAAACCCUGUCCUUCUGAAAGAAGAUCAAGACUGAGAGAAGUCUUAUCAUCCCCAGCUGCUCCGAUUGCCUUUCGCUGGACGAAGGUGAUGGGGGACUGGAUGGAGCUGGUGGAUUUUCUCUCCUUGGAGAUCUUCAAAAGCCAUGAAGAAAUGAACAUUUUCCUGGGUCAUCUACUAACUUCUGUCUAAAGCACACGAGCUCAGUACACCUGGGGACCUCAGAAAGGACCCUUCCACUUUGCCAGAAGGAAAACGGGGUUUUGAUGUCUGCUGAUAGCACUUACUGUCUCGUUAACAUUUCCUCUUGCUGCAUGCCUUUUCUUAAUAGCUGUUCCCUCCUAAGUUCUUGCUCUUAUUGACCCUCUCUCUGAGCCAUUACCAUUUGGAGAGGGUUUCACAGACCAACAUCCUGCCUCAGUUAAACCUCUUUACCAGAGGGCUGAUCCUUACAUUCCUGCCCUACAUCUUCGGGAGCUGACAGACCAUCCUCACGAAAGAUUCCUCAUAUGCAUACUCUGCUGUGAUCUUAAAGCAGGGACAGUGGUACAACGAAGAAUGCGUAAUGGAUAAUUUCUGCUGGAAAAAGGGACUGCAGAAAUUACCUGUGAACGAUGUUUCUGAGCCCAUUUGCAGUACAAUAUCUGAAUGUGGCUGAAAUGCACCAGAGAGAACACGCCGACUCUGUGAAGAACAAAGAGAAGCUCCAGACUCAUUCUUAAGUGAGAAAGGACAAUACCAGCAUGGACUGGGCAAGUGCUGGGUCCUACUAUGGCCUGUCAGUGUUGCAUCAGGUAGCAAAACUUCUGUUAUGUGCUUCAUCCCCCAUAUUUAAGAAUAUAAUUUAUGUAUAACUGUAGCUACAGUUUUCAUCACCUCUUUUAAUUUUUCUAAAUGAUGCUGAGGUAUUUCAUAUAUUUUAUUAUUUUUAGAAGGCUUCUGAUUCUGAAUCUGUUUGUGUAUUGCUUUCAUUUAUUAAGAUGUAAUUGUUAGAAGAGCUUUGUGCAUCACAAUAAAAAGUCCAGCAAUGGCA